GGCCACUUAGCUUAAUGGUAUAGAGUGUUCAGCCAUUAUCUGAGAAGGACAGGGUUCGAUUCCCUGUAGCUG
rnacentral:tRNA from 1 species